rnacentral:ncRNA from 1 species
GCGUGGGUCGGCCCGCUGGUAGUGGAACCAGUGGGCUGGGGGACACCGCCGCCUUCAAUCCCCGCGGGCGGCGGACGGUCCGGGAGGCGUGUGGCGCCUCCCGGACUGUC